rnacentral:misc_RNA from 1 species
UUCAAAUUGAUCCCAGAGGCGC